rnacentral:rRNA from 1 species
UACGUAGGGUGCGAGCGUUGUCCGGAAUUACUGGGCGUAAAGAGCUCGUAGGUGGUUUGUCGCGUUGUUCGUGAAACUCACAGCUUAACUGUGGGCUGUGCGGCGAUACGGGCAGACUGGAGUACUGCAGGGGAGACUGGAAUUCCUGGUGUAGCGGUGGAAUGCGCAGAUAUCAGGAGGAACACCGGUGGCGAAGGCGGGUCUCUGGGCAGUAACUGACGCUGAGGAGCGAAAGCGUGGGGAGCGAACAGG